CUCUUAAGAGCCAGUCUGCCAUAAAACCAUGCAAAAUCUCAAAUUUCGUCCAAAUUGGUAGUUAUAACUGGGCAACAUUAUAUAUAUUUCCAAAAUCUUUGGGUAUUUAGGAGUUAAGAUAAAAAAAAAUUUUUUUGUAAAUUCACACUAUUUUUCAUUUAACAGCCUUAUUUGCAUAUUUGUGAAUUAUUAAAAAAAAAUGCCAAAAAAAUCACCAUAUUUAGGUACUUUUUAAAGGUCUGGAUAAUUGAUAUAUCUCUUAAAUAUAGCAUUAUCUUGUUAUAUUUUGCAAAGAACAUUAUAAAAAAAAGAAAAAAUGCAUUUUGACAUUUUUUUUACCUUUUGGCAGGUUGCCAGAGAGGUUCGUGCAACAGAUGUAUUAGAUAACUUGCAUGUAGUACAUGUACUCAGUAGGUGUUUUCUCUCAAGAUCAUAUUUAUUUUUUUCAACUUUUAGGAUUUUUUUAAAGGUGCAUAUCAGUUCUAAGAC
rnacentral:lncRNA from 1 species